rnacentral:misc_RNA from 1 species
UAUUUUUUUUUUUUUUUUUAUUAAUGAACGAAAACAGAACUUGUGUGAUCAAUUUAAUAACUAAAAAGAGCUGUUGUGAUUAAUAUUGUCAUUCCUAGAUGCUGGUUAUAUAGCUACAUCAGGUUAUUAAAACUAAGUAAUGCUUGGCAUACAUAUUGUUGUUACUCCUUGUUUGAUCUCCAGCACAACACUUAUUUAUUUAUUUAAUUUACCUUUGUUCAGAUUGUUGUUCUUGUGCAUAUGAGAUUGGUUUUUCCUUUACUUCAUUUUAUAAUGGUGUGGAUUACCGACCUCCCAAUAGUUACUGGUCUUACAUCUUAAAUUAAUUUAUGCAAGCUUAAAUGUAGAUGAGAUGGUUAGUUAGGCCUUCGUUAGUGUGUCUUUAGGGGUCCUUAUAGAAAAGUUCCAAUUUUCCUAGGAGUUUAUAUCAAUUUUUGCUUUAGUGGUUAUAGGGGGCACCCUUAAUCACUUAAAUAGGGGUAUUCCUUAAAUCUUUCCUAAUUUAUUAGAAUCAUUUAAAUCAAAUAUUUUUUAUAUGAAAAUAUCAAUUUUUGUGAUAUUUAAAUAGGGGAUACCCCUUGAAUUCUCCAAAUUAUUAAAAUUAAUUAAGUCAAAUAAAAAAAUGUUUUUAUGAAAAUAUUAACUUUUUAAUGGUUAUAGGUACCUCUCAAGCCACUUAAACGGGGGAUACCCCUUGGA